AACGCGUGGAUAAUCUACCUAUUGGUACGGGACAACAGUUGGAAACGACUGCUAAUACCGUAUAAGCUGGAAACGGGAAAGGGGGCCUCUUCUUGAAAGCUCUCGCCAGUAGAUGAGUCCGCGUUUCAUUAGCUAGACGGUGGGGUAACGGCCUACCGUGGCAACGAUGAAUAGCAGGCCUGAGAGGGUGGCCUGCCACACUGGGACUGGAACACGGCCCAGACUCCUACGGGAGGCAGCAGUGGGGAAUAUUGCGCAAUGGACGAAAGUCUGACGCAGCGACGCCGCGUGGAGGAUGAAGGUUUUCGGAUCGUAAACUCCUGUCAAGAGGGAAGAAACCUAUUAGGAAUAACACUCCUAGUAAUUGACGGUACCUCUAGAGGAAGCACCGGCUAAUUCAGUGCCAGCAGCCGCGGUAAUACUGAAGGUGCAAGCGUUAAUCGGAAUCACUGGGCGUAAAGCGCUCGUAGGUGGCUUUGUAAGUCAGAUGUGAAAGCCCACGGCUCAACCGUGGAAUUGCAUUUGAUACUGCAUCGCUAGAGUAUAGGAGAGGGAAGUGGAAUUUCUGGUGUAGGAGUGAAAUCCGUAGAGAUCAGAAGGAACACCGGUGGCGAAGGCGACUUCCUGGACUAUUACUGACACUGAGGAGCGAAAGCGUGGGGAGCAAACAGGAUUAGAUACCCUGGUAGUCCACGCCGUAAACGAUGGGUACUAAGUGUCGGAGGCUUGACCUUCGGUGCUGUAGUUAACGCGUUAAGUACCCCGCCUGGGGAGUACGGUCGCAAGGCUGAAACUCAAAGAAAUUGACGGGGGCCC
rnacentral:rRNA from 1 species